rnacentral:rRNA from 1 species
GCCAGUAUUUGUGGAGUCGCUGUUGAAAUACGGCCCUUUGGUUAUUUGAGUUCUAACUCGCUGAUGCGAGGACACUGUUUGGUGGGUAGUUUGACUGGGUGGUCGCCUCCAAAAGCGUAACGGAGGCUUCUAAAGGUGCCCUCACGCCGAUUGGUAACCGGCGGUAGAGUGUAAUGGCAUAAGGGCGCUUGACUGGGAGACUUACAAGUCGAUCAGGUAGGAAACUAGAGCAUAGUGAUCCGGUGUUUCCGUAUGGAAGGGACAUCGCUCAAAGGAUAAAAG